rnacentral:rRNA from 1 species
GUAAAUAAUAAAGGGCGUAUGGUGGAUGCCUAGGCUCUCAGAGGCGAAGAAGGACGUGAUAAGCUGCGAAAAGCUCCGUUUAGGUGCAAAUAACCUUUGAUGCGGAGAUCUCCGAAUGGGAUAACCCAAUAUGUUGAAGACAUAUUAUACCGUAAGGUAGGCAAACGCAGGGAACUGAAACAUCUAAGUACCUGCAGGAGAAGAAAACAAACGUGAUUCCCCCAGUAGCGGCGAGCGACCGGGGAAAAGCCCAAACCGUUAUUGUUUCGGCAUUAACGGGGUAGUAGGACUGCAAGCUUGAUGAAAUAAAUGAAAUGGAACACCUUGGAAAAUGUGAUCACAGAGGGUGAUAAUCCCGUACAUGCAAGUUUAUGAAUCAUAGCAGUAUCCUGAGUAAGUCGGGACACGUGUAAUCCUGACCGAAUCCGCCGGGACCAUCCGGCAAGGCUAAAUACUCCUGAGAGACCGAUAGUGAACCAGUACCGUGAGGGAAAGGUGAAAAGCACUUCGAACAGAAGAGUGAAAUAGUCCCUGAACCCAUACGCCUACAAGCUGUCGGAGCCGCUUCGUGCGGUGACGGCGUGCCUUUUGCAUAAUGAGCCUACGAGUUACUCAUCACCAGCGAGGUUAAGUACUUCAGGUACGUAAGCCGAAGCGAAAGCGAGUCUGAAUAGGGCGUCAAGUUGGUGGUGGUAGACGCGAAACCUUAGUGAUCUACCCAUGGGCAGGGUGAAGGUUUGGUAACACAAACUGGAGGCCCGAACCGGUAAACGUUGAAAAGUUUUCGGAUGACCUGUGGGUAGGGGUGAAAGGCCAAUCAAACUGGGAAAUAGCUCGUACUCUCCGAAAUGCAUUUAGGUGCAGCCUCUGUUGUUUUGUUCUAGAGGUAGAGCUACUGAUUGGAUGCGAGGGCUUCACCGCCUAUCAAAUCCGGCCAAACUCCGAAUGCUAGAACAUGAAGACAGGGAGUGAGCCAGCGGGUGCUAAGGUCCGUUGACGAAAGAGGGAGAACUCAGACCAUCAGCUAAGGUCCCCAAUUGUAUGCUAAGUUGGAAUUAAAACGGGGUGGGACUGCUUAGACAGCUAGGAUGUUGGCUUGGAAGCAGCCAUUCAUUUAAAGAGUGCGUAACAGCUCACUAGUCGAGCGGUCCUGCAUGGAUAAUACGCGGGCAUAAGCAUAUAACCGAAGCUAUGGGAUUGUAGAUGAUACAAUCGGUAGGAGAGCAUUCCAUUCAGCGUAGAAGCAGUAUCGUGAGGUAUUGUGGAGCGGAUGGAAAAGCAAAUGUAGGCAUAAGUAACGAUAAUGCGGGUGAGAACCCCGCACGCCGAAAGAUCAAGGAUUCCCCGGCAAUGUCAAUCAUCCGGGGGUAAGUCGGAUCCUAAGGGUAAGCCGAGUGGCGAUCCCGAUGGCAAACAGGUUAAUAUUCCUGUACUGAUCAUAACUGCGAUGCAGCGACGCAGAGGUGACACUGCUGCGUACUGACGGAAUAGUACGUUGAAACCCGUAUUCUUUGAUACCGGUAGUGAAGCACGCCGGUAGAGAUGAAAGGUGAUAGUACCGCAAUGCUUCGGUUGCGCGGAUAACGCAGGUAAGCUGACUGCCAAGAAAACCUGCUAAGCUUCAGGUAAUGAUCAUCCGUACUGUAAACGGACACACGUGAUCAGGUAGAAAAUACUAAGGCGCUCGAGAGAUUCAUGGUUAAGGAACUAGGCAAAAUGACCCUGUAACUUCGGGAUAAAGGACGCUCUUGUGAAAGAGCCGCAGAUAAUAGGCCCAGGCGACUGUUUACCAAAAACACAUGGCUAUGCUAAUUCGCAAGAAGAUGUAUAUGGCCUGACACCUGCCCGGUGCCGGAAGGUUAAGAGGAGAGCUCAGAGGCAACUCGAAGGUUUGAAUUGAAGCCCCGGUAAACGGCGGCCGUAACUAUAACGGUCCUAAGGUAGCGAAAUUCCUUGUCGGGUAAGUUC